rnacentral:rRNA from 2 species
UUUUUUAUGGAGAGUUUGAUCCUGGCUCAGGACGAACGCUGGCGGCGUGCUUAACACAUGCAAGUCGAACGGAAAGGCCUAGCUUGCUAGGUACUCGAGUGGCGAACGGGUGAGUAACACGUGGGUG